rnacentral:rRNA from 1 species
GACGAACGCUGGCGGCGUGCUUAACACAUGCAAGUCGAACGGAAAGGCCCUGCUUUUGUGGGGUGCUCGAGUGGCGAACGGGUGAGUAACACGUGAGUAACCUGCCCUUGACUUUGGGAUAACUUCAGGAAACUGGGGCUAAUACCGGAUAGGAGCUCCUGCUGCAUGGUGGGGGUUGGAAAGUUUCGGCGGUUGGGGAUGGACUCGCGGCUUAUCAGCUUGUUGGUGGGGUAGUGGCCUACCAAGGCUUUGACGGGUAGCCGGCCUGAGAGGGUGACCGGCCACAUUGGGACUGAGAUACGGCCCAGACUCCUACGGGAGGCAGCAGUGGGGAAUAUUGCACAAUGGGCGGAAGCCUGAUGCAGCAACGCCGCGUGCGGGAUGGCGGCCUUCGGGUUGUAAACCGCUUUCGCCUGUGACGAAGCGUGAGUGACGGUAAUGGGUAAAGAAGCACCGGCUAACUACGUG